rnacentral:lncRNA from 1 species
UAUUAAACUUCUUAGGCAUAGUAAUCCUUGUCCUCAUCAUAUUUAUAGAAGAAAAAUUCUUUGGAUUUAGUUGCAAGGUCAAUCUACUUACUUCCUUCAAUUACACAACUUCUUGUUACAAACUUUAAACUUCUUCCAUAGGCAUAGGCAUAGUACUUCUAUGAUUUACAUUGAAAAUACUUAAAAUUUUCACUCUUAGAGUAUUGAUAAGCUCAUGAAGAUCUACAAUAGUUGCAAAUCUAUUUUCACUUUUAUUGAGAAUAGCAUUGAUAAUCUUUCUUU